rnacentral:rRNA from 1 species
CACGUAGGGGGCAAGCGUUGUCCGGAUUUAUUGGGCGUAAAGAGCUCGUAGGCGGCUUGUCGCGUCAACUGUGAAAACCCGUGGCUCAACCAUGUGGUCUGCAGUCGAUACGGGCAGGCUAGAAUUCGGUAGGGGAGACUGGAAUUCCUGGUGUAGCGGUGAAAUGCGCAGAUAUCAGGAGGAACACCGGUGGCGAAGGCGGGUCUCUGGGCCGAUAUUGACGCUGAGGAGCGAAAGCGUGGGGAGCGAACAGG